rnacentral:tRNA from 2 species
GCGUCAGUAGCUCAGUUGGAUAGAGCAACGCCCUUCUAAGGCGUGGGUCGGGGGUUCGAAUCCCUCCUGGCGUACCA